rnacentral:rRNA from 1 species
AGGGGGGCAACCCCCGAGUAGAGUGGCGAACGGGUGAGUAAUACAUCGGAACGUAUCCAGUAGCGGGGGAUAACCUCUCGAAAGAGAGGCUAAUACCGCAUACGACCUACGGGUGAAAGAGGGGGAUCGCAAGACCUCUCACUAUUGGAGCGGCCGAUGUCGGAUUAGCUAGUUGGCGGGGUAACGGCCCACCAAGGCGACGAUCCGUAGCUGGUCUGAGAGGACGACCAGCCACACUGGAACUGAGACACGGUCCAGACUCCUACGGGAGGCAGCAGUGGGGAAUUUUGGACAAUGGGCGCAAGCCUGAUCCAGCCAUGCCGCGUGAGUGAAGAAGGCCUUCGGG